rnacentral:rRNA from 1 species
GAUGAACGCUGGCGGCGUGCCUAAUACAUGCAAGUCGAGCGAACGGACGAGAAGCUUGCUUCUCUGAUGUUAGCGUCGGACGGGUGAGUAACACGUGGAUAACCUACCUAUAAGACUGGGAUAACUUCGUGAAACCGGUGCUAAUACCGGAUAAUAUUUUGAACCGCAUGGUUCAAAAGUUAAAGACGGUCUUGCUGUCACUUAUAGAUGGAUCCGCGCUGCAUUAGCUAGUUGGUAAGGUAACGGCUUACCAAGGCAACGAUGCAUAGCCGACCUGAGAGGGUGAUCGGCCACACUGGAACUGAGACACGGUCCAGACUCCUACGGGAGGCAGCAGUAGGGAAUAUUCCGCAAUGGGCGAAAGCCUGACGGAGCAACGCCGCGUGAGUGAUGAAGGUCUUCGGAUCGUAAAACUCUGUUAGUAGGGAAGAACAUAUGUGUAAGUAACUGUGCACAUAUUGACGGUACCUAAUCAGAAAGCCACGGCUAACUACGUG